GGUUGUUGUGGGGUUGAAAGAAAAGCAAGAAAGGUCUCUAUGGCUUGUUUUUGUUUCGACUAUGUUCAUAGGAAUAGUGAUACGUCUCUGGCCAUGUCACUGUUUCGGAGAUUUUAUCUGUUUACCGGUUCUGUAAGUGAAUUUCUGGUUGAAUUGGUGUGGAACCAUGACAUCUUCUGCUGUCGUUUUAAUAGUUUAUUUCUAUAAUCAAAGCAUAGUUCCAGAAAAGUGGCUAAUUUUGGAAUUUGGGUCUCCUGAUUAUUGAUAAUUUUUAUUUUAGUUUGUAAUUCACAUUCAUUUCUUUUGCUGCUUUUGAUUUUGUGUAGAAAUCUGGAGUACGACUGAGAUCUGGCUAUUUCUUUUAUUGUUUGCUCUUUUCUCACUCUAAUUUUUUAGUGAAAGGCAGCACAUGGGUAUGAAUACUUGAAUAGUGAUGUAAAUCACUUUGGCCGUUUUGUCAUUAGUGGAAUUCUUAUGGUGAUAUUCCCCGGGAGUCUAUGCUCCAAGUUUUCUUCCUCUGCCACUAAUCUUUCUUCUCAAAUACCUGCUGGAGGUGAAAGUUGUUGCUAAUAUGCCUUAUUUGAAAUUAUGCUUGAUCUGGAAACUAAUUCCCUGUUCUAGGAUUUGAUGAAGUUCCCAUGAACUACAGCAGAUCGCAGCUUUUUAAGCCAACUUUGUUGUCCGAAUGAUAAAUAAUAAAUGCCUGAAUAGCAUUUUUAUAUCUUAAUAGUCUUAUUUUUCCAUUAAUUUAUACUCGAGUUAUUUUACUCAUAUUUGUGUAGUGUGUGGACAAAAAUGUCACAAGUCUCAAUGUACCAUGAUAAUCUGAGUUGACUCUUUAUCUUUAGCUCCAGUCCGGAGUGGAGUCACUCAAGAAAUGUGCAGGACAUGACAUGUGAAAUUCUGGUGGAAAGGUCUAACUGAUAGUCGUUUGUAGCUGAAUUCCUUUUGAUAUGUGUAGUUUGUUAUUUCCAAUGUGAAGACUUCACUAGCCCCAUACUUUUAUGUUGAAAAAUAGGUUUUAUUUUAUACUUAGGAUAUGAAAAAUGAGAUGUUCAGUCAUGUCGAUACUCUUUAAUGUGGUAUAAGUACAUAUUUUUUUUCUAAACCAAACAUGACUGCUUUUUGUUGAGUCCUUUUAAUUUCCUUCCGCAUACUUUUUUUUUUCAAUGAUAACUCUAAAAUAUUAUGUAGAGGGAACAUAUCUUAUAACUAGGAAUAUUUGUUUAGUUUUUACAGUACGAUAUUGGUGAAUUCUUGUCUAAAUAUAUAAAUUGUGUACAUAAUAUUUUUUUACUCCAUAUAUAAUGGAAUGUAAUUUGUAUACAUGUAGUACAUACAAAAAUGGGAAUGUAAUUUGUAUUCACUUAUAGUCCUUUCCAUGUUGAAACCUUUUUUCAAUUAGAUGAUAUUUUCAUUUCACAUUCUCAUCUUUGUGUUGUGCCAAUAAUCUUCAAUCACUGUUUAUUGAUUCUAUAUGCAUAUUUGGUUUGUUGUUGAUGUCGUAGGGGCAACUUCCUUCCUUUUCACUGAAUAUCAGUAUGUUGGAAUUUUCAUGCUUGCUUUUGCAAUCCUUAUUUUCCUAUUCCUCGGCUCUGUUGAGGGAUUCAGCACCAAGACUCAACCUUGCACCUAUGACCCAUUGAAGACAUGCAAGCCUGCCCUAGCAACUGCUGUCUUCAGCACGGUGUCCUUCUUGCUUGGUGCUUUCACUUCUGUAGUUUCUGGCUUCCUUGGGAUGAAAAUUGCUACAUAUGCAAAUGCUAGAACCACCCUUGAGGCAAGAAAAGGAGUUGGGAAGGCUUUUAUCACUGCAUUCAGGUCUGGUGCUGUCAUGGGUUUUCUCCUUGCUGCAAAU
rnacentral:misc_RNA from 1 species